rnacentral:lncRNA from 1 species
UUUGAGAGGGGAAGUUGAAGUGAUUCGUGAAAAAUCUGUCUUUGAUGUGAGGAAUGUAGUUAUAGCUAAAGUUACAACUGAAAUGAGAAUCUGAAAAGUGACGAAGAUGGGGAAAGAAUGGGAAAAGGCGAGAGGUUGAGAGCUUGGUUUUGGCAACGAAAAUUGAAGAAAUGAAGAUAUUUUAGGAUCGUCUAGACAGCUGGCUAUUUUUUAUUGGUUCGAACAUUUAAUCAGAUGUAGCCAAGCCAAAAAACCUUUGCAAAUGGACUGAUUAUCUUGAUGGGUUUGAACUAUUCGAGGCCCAUCAGCUAAAAACCAGACAUGGCAAAACGAUUGGUCUGCAAUACUUCAUCCUAUGUGGCACCCCUUAGAAGCUUCAAAAAUAACUCCUUUUAUAUAGUAGAGAUAACUACAACUGAAUCGUGGAAUCACUGUAGCCUACUGGUUAAGGUUUAAAGGGCUUCUGCACUCAGGUCUGGAGUACAAAUCCCAG